rnacentral:lncRNA from 1 species
AUGAAACUUGGUCUUUUUUGCUUUCAUGAGUGUCCAGCAGCCACUGGUCUUAAUUGUGAAAAUGUGCUGGUCGUGCUUCCCAAAAGUAACAAAACAAUCACAGAAAUCUGUAACUCGGGGGCCGCGGCUCCCGGCAGCUCUCCUGGCUCGGGGCGUCCGGUCCCGAGCGGGCUAGGGCUGGGAAGCCCGGGGUCUGCGUCCCCCAGGAACCAUCGAGGUUUAACCACUUGCGUCUGGAAGAAUUAUGCCAAAUCUCUGUGUUGUCGCUCUGACCCGACCCUCUUUGCUCCCGCUUCAGACGUCCUGUUAGUCACUGCGCUGUCGGGGCUCAGCCUUUGCGCCCCUGCCCCCGUCCUUUACUUCCCUGUACCGUGCGCAGGAUGGAAGUGCUCCCCGCUUCCUGGCACAUCGCGAACGUCCUGGUGGGACCCGGGACCGUUUCCUCUGUCUCCUCCGACUCCGAGGCCCCGAGCACUGGGACAGGUGGCGUCCCGAGCCCUCUGCACCCGCGGCGGGAGCCGGGCGACCCAAGAGCGUCUGCAGAGUGCGGGGCUCCUGCGGGAACAGCGCGCGCGUCCCCGGGAGACUGUCCCACCCGUCCUGGUGCGACCCCCACCGCCCCCCACCCCCCAUGCCCCUGGAGGCCCCGGCUUGUCUGUGCUUAGAAUUUCCCAUCCCCGAGUCCACUGUGGUCAUUAGCCGUGGUUUUUUAUACAGGUUGGGUCCAAAUUAGAAUUGAUCUUUGUUUCUACUCUCCGUAGUCUAGUAACGUGCAAAGUAAUAAUUAUAUAUAUUUUAAGACGAGAGAUGUAUUAUUGGUCCUAAAUCGCCUGCUUGUGACCAGAGUACAGAUUUCAAUAGUUUUUUCGAAGCUUCCGUAGACCUCAGAAGAUGAAUUACAAGAUAACCUUUUUUUAAAACCAUUUUCAGAUCAUUGCCAAGUCCCGCUAAGGUAAUCGUGUCGACCUGCAUUAUUUUUGUAAUAUAUGUCAGCGAUGGUAAAAAUGAUGCUGUGUCGUCUUGUUCUUACACGUGUCGCAACCAAUUUUUAAACCGGGCGUGGUUUGGUGUCCCUGCCCCGAUGAGUAAGCGGAGGGUACGUCUCGGGUUCUGCCGGAGGCCCUGCCUGCACCGUGACACCCGCGAGUCCCCGCUGCAGGUGCAGGGUCCCGUCCCAGCUGCGCCAUCCAGGAGUCGUGCUGGGGGUGGAGGGCAGGGUGACUCCUUGCUUCUGGGGAGGAGGCGGGGGGCGGGGGCCAGGCCAGGGCCCUGGCAUUACUGGGUGUCCCCAGGCCGAUCCCGACUGCCCUCCUUGCUUGACCUCACGUUCACCCUCAGUUGAAACGGACAGUAAAGGAGGUGACAGUUUUCUGGCCGCUGGUCCCGCCCUCUCCUUACCCUCCUGCCCUUUGGUGGGACCCCCUGCCUGGGGCUUCGGGUCCGUAUCUCCCUGAACCAGAGGCACCCUGGGAGCACUCUGUGUCCUGGCACCAGAAGAGCCGGGGUCCCUGUCUUCUCUGCGCCCACCUGGUGGCUCGGGCGUCCCUCUCACAUGUCUCCCUGCACGACGGUCUCAUCAGGAGACCCACCCCAGCACCUGCCUGAGACAGAAGUCAGGGAGGGACGCCCAAGUGGGCAGAGGGGAUCACCAGGAUGCUCUGAGUGUGGCCCUCGCUGACCGUGUCUUGGGGGGAGGCAUGUGGCCCCCAGACUGCUGAGCCCACCCGAGUUCCCUCCACUCCACCUCCCGCCGCUGGGCUGUGGGGGCCUCCCUUCCCACCCCGUCACCCCACGCAGCUCUUGGCUCAGACGCUUCCUGUGGAGCCGGGUUCUGUGUGUUCACGGAGGGGGCACGUCAGGUGUAUGUGCCGGGUGGGCACUCGGAAGGCCCCCCCAUCCCUGGGCGGGCAGCUGUGGGAUGCCAGGUCCGCUGCCCCAAGCCAGGAAGCCUCGCACUCGAGCCGGUGGGUCUGGAGGGAUGAGACUCUGCCCCCCCAGGAGGACGUCCUACUUCAUUUCUGCCCCGGGGGCGCUGGUCAGGCUGGACCCUCGCAGCACAGAGACCAAGCACCUGCCCACGUGUGGCCACAGAGCUGAUGUGUGCUCGUGUGUGGGUGUGUGCACGCGGUGGUGGGAGGGGCUUCGCCGGUGAGAAGGGUCCUGCCCCCCCUGUGGGUUUGGGCCCCGCUGUGGUGGCCCAGUCCAGCCGUGCACUCGCAGCCUCGNGUGCACGCGGUGGUGGGAGGGGCUUCGCCGGUGAGAAGGGUCCUGCCCCCCCUGCGGGUUUGGGGCCCCACUGUGGUGGCCCAGUCCAGCCGUGCACUCGCAGCCUCAGAGCUUGCACACAUCACACGGGGCGCUCCCGUGGUGCGCGGGGCCUUGGGGCCGUGCUGGCAUCAGGGCUGGCCCCGGGCUGGCCCGGAUUCAAAUCCCGGCCUUCUAGUGCGCACGUCUCCCCAUGCCCUUCGCAGGUUCCUCUCGGUGCAAACCGUUUUCUGUUCUGUUGCGUGAAGAUGCUGAUUAAAACAGUGUCUUGGGCAGCCCGGGGGGGCUCAGCGGUUUAGAGCCGCCUGCAGCCCGGGGUGUGAUCCUAGAGACCCGGGGUCAAGUCCCACGUCGGGCUCCCUGCAUGGGGCCUGCUUCUCCCUCUGCCUNCCUGCAGCCCGAGGUGUGAUCCUAGAGACCCGGGGUCAAGUCCCACGUGGGGCUCCCUGCAUGGGGCCUGCUUCUCCCUCUGCCUGUGUCUCUGCCUCUUUCUCCCUCUCUCUCUCUGUGUGUGUAUCUAUGAAUAAAUAAAUCUUUAAAAAAAAAUAAAAGUGUCUC